UACAGAGGUCCCAAGCGUUGUUCGGAUUCACUGGGCGUAAAGGGUGCGUAGGCGGUCGGGUAAGUCUGACGUGAAAUCUUCAAGCUCAACUUGGAACUGCGUUAGAUACUAUUCGGCUAGAGGAAUGGAGGGGAGACUGGAAUACUUGGUGUAGCAGUGAAAUGCGUAGAUAUCAAGUGGAAACACCGGUGGCGAAGGCGGGUCUCUGGGCCGAUACUGACGCUGAGGGAGCGAAAGCGUGGGGAGCGAACAGGA
rnacentral:rRNA from 1 species